UACGUAGGGUGCAAGCGUUGUCCGGAAUUAUUGGGCGUAAAGAGCUCGUAGGCGGUUUGUCGCGUCUGCUGUGAAAACCCGAGGCUCAACCUCGGGCCUGCAGUGGGUACGGGCAGACUAGAGUGCGGUAGGGGAGGUUGGAAUUCCUGGUGUAGCGGUGGAAUGCGCAGAUAUCAGGAGGAACACCAAUGGUGAAGGCAGAUCUCUGGGCCGUAACUGACGCUGAGGAGCGAAAGCAUGGGGAGCGAACAGG
rnacentral:rRNA from 1 species